GUGUGCCUACGGGGGGCAGCAGUAGGGAAUAUUGCUCAAUGGGGGAAACCCUGAAGCAGCAACGCCGCGUGUGGGAAGACGGUCCUCUGGAUUGUAAACCACUGUCCCCAGGGACGAAGAUGACGGUACCUGGGGAGGAAGCUCCGGCUAACUACGUGCCAGCAGCCGCGGUAAUACGUAGGGAGCGAGCGUUGUCCGGAAUUACUGGGUGUAAAGGGAGCGUAGGCGGGGAUGCAAGUUGGGUGUCAAAACUACCGGCUCAACUGGUAGUCGCACUCAAAACUGCAGCUCUUGAGUGAAGUAGG
rnacentral:rRNA from 1 species